AGCGACGCCGCGUGCGGGAUGAAGGCCUUCGGGUGUAAACCGCUGUCAGUGGGGAGCAAAUGCCUAGGGGUUCUCCCCUAGGUUUGAGCGAUCCGCAGAGGAAGCGCAGGCUAAUUCCGUGCCAGCAGCCGCGGUAAUACGGAAUGUGCAAACGUUAUUCGGAAUCACUGGGCUUAAAGAGUCCGUAGGCGGCAUGUUAGGUGAGGUGUGAAAUCCCCCGGCUCAACCGAGGAAUUGCGCUUCAAACCGGCGUGCUUGAGGAAGAUAGAGGUGGGCGGAACUGAUGGUGGAGCGGUGAAAUGCGUUGAUAUCAUCAGGAACACCGGAGGCGAAAGCGGCCCACUGGGUCUUUUCUGACGCUGAGGGACGAAAGCUAGGGGAGCGAACGGGAUUAGAUACCCCGGUAGUCCUAGCCUUAAACGAUGAGCACUAGACCGAAGUAAUCUCCACGAUUUUUUGGUCGUAGCGAAAGUGUUAAGUGCUCCGCCUGGGGAGUAUGGUCGCAAGGCUG
rnacentral:rRNA from 1 species